rnacentral:rRNA from 1 species
AUAUCAAUAAGCGGAGGAAAAGAAACUAACAAGGAUUCCCCUAGUAACUGCGAGUGAAGCGGGAAAAGCUCAAAUUUAAAAUCUGGCGGUCUUCGCGGCCGUCCGAGUUGUAAUCUGAGAGAAGCGUCUAUCCGCGUCGGACCGUGCUACAAGUCUUCCUGGAAUGGAGCGUCAUAGAGGGUGAGAAUCCCGUCUUUGACACGGACAUGCCGGAUGCUUUCUGUGAUGCGCUCUCGAAGAGUCGAGUUGUUUGGGAAUGCAGCUCAAAAUGGGUGGUGAAACUUCCAUCUAAAGCUAAAUAUUGGCGAGAGACCGAUAGCGAACAAGUACCGUGAGGGAAAGAUGAAAAGCACUUUGGAAAGAGAGUGUAAACAGUAC